CGUAUACUCCCUCCGUCCGGAAAUACUUGUCAUCAAAAUGGAUAAAAGGGGGUGUAUCUAGAACUAAAAUACGUCUAGAUACAUCUCUUUUUAUUCAUCUUGAUGACAAGUAUUUCCGGACGGAGGGAGUAUGUU
rfam:Triticum aestivum genome assembly, contig: Triticum_aestivum_CS42_TGACv1_scaffold_321664_4BL